CACGUAGGGCGCAAGCGUUGUCCGGAAUUAUUGGGCGUAAAGAGCUCGUAGGCGGUCUGUUGCGUCCGCUGUGAAAACUCGGGGCUUAACCCCGAGCCUGCAGUGGAUACGGGCAGACUAGAGGUAGGUAGGGGAGAAUGGAAUUCCCGGUGUAGCGGUGAAAUGCGCAGAUAUCGGGAGGAACACCGGUGGCGAAGGCGGCCCACUGGUCCGGUACUGACGCUGAGGUGCGAAAGCGUGGGGAGCGAACAGG
rnacentral:rRNA from 1 species